GAUGAACGCCGGCGGCGUGCCUAAUACAUGCAAGUCGAGCGAACAGACGAGGAGCUUGCUCCUCUGACGUUAGCCGCGGACGGGUGAGUAACACGUGGAUAACCUACCUAUAAGACUGGGAUAACUUCGGGAAACCUGAUCUAAUACCGUAUAACAUGUUGAACCCCAUGGUUCAACAGUGAAAGGCGGUCUUGCUGUCACUUGUAGUUGGAUCCUCGCCGCAUUAGCUAGUUGGUAAGGUCACGGCUUACCUAGGCAACGAUGCGUAGCCGACCUGAGAGGGUGAGCGGCCACACUGGAACUGAGACACGGUCCAGCGUCCUACGGGAGGCAGGAGUAGGGAAGCGUCCGCAAUGGGCGAAAGCCUGACGGAGCAACGCCGCGUGAGUGAAGAAGGUCUUCGGAUCGUAAAACUCUGUUAUUAGGGAAGAAAAAAUGUGUAAGUAACUAUGCACGUCGUGACGGUACCUAAUCAGAAAGCCACGGCUAACUACGUG
rnacentral:rRNA from 1 species